rnacentral:misc_RNA from 1 species
CCGAGUUUACAACUCCCAAACCCCUGUGAACAUACCACUUGUUGCCUCGACGGAUCAGCCCGCUCCCGGUAAAACGGGACGGCCCGCCAGAGGACCCCUAAACUCUGUUUCUAUAUGUAACUUCUGAGUAAAACCAUAAAUAAAUCA